rnacentral:rRNA from 1 species
UAAGGAAUAUUGCUCAAUGGGAGAAAUCCUGAAGCAGCAACGCCGCGUGGAGGAUGAAGGGUCUAUGACUUGUAAACUCCUGUAAAGAAGGAAAAAAUUCCCAUUAGAUGGGAGAUGAUGGUACUUCUGGAGUAAGCCCCGGCUAACUACGUGCCAGCAGCCGCGGUAAUACGUAGGGGGCAAGCGUUGUCCGGAUUUACUGGGUGUAAAGGGUGCUCAGGCGGAUUUGUAAGUCAGAGGUGAAAUCUUACAGCUUAACUGUGAAACUGCCUUUGAUACUGCAAGCCUAGAGUAUGGAAGAGAGUGAUGGAAUAUCUGGUGUAGCAGUGAAAUGCGUAGAUAUCAGAUAGAACACCAAUGGCGAAGGCAGUCACUUGGUCCAUUACUGACGCUAACGCACGAAAGCGCGGG